CGCCCGUGACUCGGCGAGAAGUCCAUUGAACCUUAUCAUUUAGAGGAAGGAGAAGUCGUAACAAGGUUUCCGUAGGUGAACCUGCGGAAGGAUCAUUG
rnacentral:rRNA from 7 species